CCUACGAGGGGCAGCAGUGAGGAAUAUUGGUCAAUGGGCGAGAGCCUGAACCAGCCAAGUCGCGUGAGGGAAGACGGUCCUAUGGAUUGUAAACCUCUUUUGCCGGGGAGCAAAAAGCGGUACGUGUACCGCAUCGAGAGUACCCGGAGAAAAAGCAUCGGCUAACUCCGUUCCAGCAGCCGCGGUAAUACGGAGGAUGCGAGCGUUAUCCGGAUUUGUUGGGUUUAAAGGGGUCUAAGACGGCGAGUUAAGUCAGCGGUAAAAUUGCGGGGCUCAAACCCGACGAGCCGGUGAAACUGGCUUGAUAGAGUGGGCGAGAAGUAUGCGGAAGGCGUGGGGUAGCGGUGAAAUGCAUAGAUAUCACGCAGAACUCCGAUUGCGAAGGCAGCAUACCGGCGCCCAACGGACGCUCAGGCACGAAAGCGUGGGUAUCGAACAGGAUUAGAUACCCCAGUAGUC
rnacentral:rRNA from 1 species